GUUGUAAUUUGUAGAGGAUGCUUCUGGGUAGCGGCCCGGUCUAAGUUCCUUGGAACAGGACGUCAUAGAGGGUGAGAAUCCCGUAUGUGACUGGCUUGCACCCUCCACGUAGCUCCUUCGACGAGUCGAGUUGUUUGGGAAUGCAGCUCUAAAUGGGAGGUAAAUUUCUUCUAAAGCUAAAUACCGGCCAGAGACCGAUAGCGCACAAGUAGAGUGAUCGAAAGAUGAAAAGCACUUUGGAAAGAGAGUUAAAAAGCACGUGAAAUUGUUGAAAGGGAAGCGCCCGCAACCAGACUUUGCGGCAGUGUUCGGCCGGUCUUCUGACCGGUUUACUCGCUGUCGUGAGGCCAUCAUCGUCUGGGACCGCUGGAUAAGACCUUAGGAAUGUAGCUCCCCUCGGGGAGUGUUAUAGCCUCUGGUGAUGCAGCGCGUCUCGGGCGAGGUCCGCGCUUCGGCAAGGAUGAUGGCGUAAUGGUUGUCGGCGGCCCGUCUUGAAACACGGACCAAGGAGUCUAACAUCUAUGCGAGUGUUCGGGUGUCAAACCCCUACGCGUAAUGAAAGUGAACGGAGGUGGGAACUUUUUGUGCACCAUCGACCGAUCCUGAUGUCCUCGGAUGGAUUUGAGUAAGAGCAUAGCUGUUGGGACCCGAAAGAUGGUGAACUAUGCCUGAAUAGGGUGAAGCCAGAGGAAACUCUGGUGGAGGCUCGCAGCGGUUCUGACGUGCAAAUCGA
rnacentral:rRNA from 1 species